rnacentral:rRNA from 1 species
AUUGAACGCUGGCGGCAGGCCUAACACAUGCAAGUCGAGCGGAUGAAGGGAGCUUGCUCCUGGAUUCAGCGGCGGACGGGUGAGUAAUGCCUAGGAAUCUGCCUGGUAGUGGGGGAUAACGUCCGGAAACGGGCGCUAAUACCGCAUACGUCCUGAGGGAGAAAGUGGGGGAUCUUCGGACCUCACGCUAUCAGAUGAGCCUAGGUCGGAUUAGCUAGUUGGUGGGGUAAAGGCCUACCAAGGCGACGAUCCGUAACUGGUCUGAGAGGAUGAUCAGUCACACGGGAACUGAGACACGGUCCAGACUCCUACGGGAGGCAGCAGUGGGGAAUAUUGGGCAAUGGGCGAAAGCCUGAUCCAGCCAUGCCGCGUGUGUGAAGAAGGUCUUCGGAUUGUAAAGCACUUUAAGUUGGGAGGAAGGGCAGUAAGUUAAUACCUUGCUGUUUUGACGUUACCAACAGAAUAAGCACCGGCUAACUUCGUG